AUACGUAGGGUGCGAGCGUUAAUCGGAAUUACUGGGCGUAAAGCGUGCGCAGGCGGUUGUGUAAGACAGGUGUGAAAUCCCCGGGCUUAACCUGGGAACUGCGCUUGUGACUGCACGACUCGAGUGUGGCAGAGGGGGGUGGAAUUCCACGUGUAGCAGUGAAAUGCGUAGAGAUGUGGAGGAACACCGAUGGCGAAGGCAGCCUUCUGGUCCGGUACUGACGCUGAGGCACGAAAGCCAGGGGAGC
rnacentral:rRNA from 1 species